CAAUCGGCGAAGGCGGAGAUGAUCAGUCUCUUCCCUGAUAUUCACUUCUUUUGAUUGAAUCUUCGAUUACCACAAUGGAUAUCAAGUUAUUCUUGAUAUUUGUGGUAAUGAUGUGCGCCAUGCACAAAGGGCCUGCUGUAUAUCGGGACCUUUACGUGCGUGGAGCCGAAGUCAGGAUAUGCCAAAAGAUUGUUUUAUUAUUUCAACGCUGGAGAAAUUGAGAAAGUCUGUCCAACGGUUGCCGAUCUGAUAUCGCGAGUUGGGAAUGAGGUGUUCUGUAAUCUGCUGUGUGUGCUCCUAACUCUGCUGUUGGGCUAUGCGCCGUCGAUCGGAAAGGUCGUCAAAGAGAAAUGGUCAGCCGCCGUGUCAAUGUUCCAAGAAUGGAGAGCUCGUCCUUCCAUCUGUCGUCACUGCGGUACUGCCCCGUGUCAGGUUAAAAGGAGAACCUUGUGGAAGCCCACCGGAUCUUGUAAGAAAGACAAGGCGAAUUUCGCAAAAAGGUCAAACGCCAUGAUGUUGUUUUACUAUGGACUAGAGUUGUCCGUGAUACUUACCAAAGAGCUGCCAUGGAAUGACCUGUACUGGAAAAAGAAGUUCGUCCAGCAUUUUGAGGAGGAGCAUAUGGUGCUGUUCCCAUUGUGCAUCCAGCGUCAGAUCAACUACUGGUACCCUGUCCCUCGCUAGAGUCGUUGCGUCGUUCAAAGGGAAGAAUGUGGAAGGCAGUCGGUGAUGGAAUAGAAGUUUGAGGAUUGACGUCACAGCCUCGAUUUGGCUGUCUUAGGGUUUUUGUCAUGAUUAGUUCCAACAGGAAUGUUUUUUGACCAGUGAUACAGUCUAAUUAUAUUGUUUCUUAUUUCAAUUAAAAUGUCCAGGUGUUGGUUUGUGGAUGUAGAUUGUUAGUGAAGAACAUUUGAACAGUGUUGUUGUCCAGCAGUGGUCAAAUAUAUAAAUAUUCGUUUUUUAUUCGAUUGGUCAGUUGCAAACAUGUUUCAAUUGAAUUACCAACAUGCAAAGUUCUGUUCAUUUUGUACUGGUCAGUUUUGCUUUUGCGUAUGCUGUGUAGUAACAAUCAUGUAAACAUUAA